GCCUGGAAACCUGUGCCCUUUGUGUCAGCCUCGUGAAUUCAUAAUUGCUCGUCAAUGAAAUUAUCCGACACACUACAGAUAUCAGCCUUACUGGAAGCAGUGAUGAUAGAGGAAUGAAAACAAAAGACAAGAUUCCUGCCCUCAGAAAGUUUACAUCCUUGUAAUGGACAACAAAAAGCAAUGACAAAUAAAUAAGUAAGCAAAUACAUUUGAAUAAUUAUUUCAAAU
rnacentral:lncRNA from 1 species